AUAAGCGGAGGAAGAUUCCGUAGGUGAACCUGCGGAUAUGCAUAUCAAUAAGCGGAGGAAGCUUCCGUAGGCGCAAAAGUAUUUAUACUUUAUGGUCUCUCUGAGACUUCUGUACUGAAUAAGUCAAAACUUUCAACAACGGAUCUCUUGGUUCUGGCAUCGAUGAAGAACGCAGCGAAAUGCGAUAAGUAAUGUGAAUUGCAGAAUUCAGUGAAUCAUCGAAUCUUUGAACGCACAUUGCGCCCGCCAGUAUUCUGGCGGGCAUGCCUGUUCGAGCGUCAUUUCAACCAUCAAGCCCCGGGCUUGUGUUGGGGACCUGCGGCUGCCGCAGGCCCUGAAAAGCAGUGGCGGGCUCGCUGUCACACCGAGCGUAGUAGCAUACAUCUCGCUCUGGGCGUGCUGCGGGUUCCGGCCGUUAAACCCCCUUUAACCCAAGGUUGACCUCGGAUCAGGUAGGAAG
rnacentral:rRNA from 1 species